rnacentral:rRNA from 1 species
CGGCUAUCACUUACAGAUGGGCCCGCGGUGCAUUAGCUAGUUGGUGAGGUAACGGCUCACCAAGGCCACGAUGCAUAGCCGACCUGAGAGGGUGAUCGGCCACACUGGGACUGAGACACGGCCCAGACUCCUACGGGAGGCAGCAGUAGGGAAUCUUCCGCAAUGGACGAAAGUCUGACGGAGCAACGCCGCGUGAGUGAUGAAGGCUUUCGGGUCGUAAAACUCUGUUGUUAGGGAAGAACAAGUACAAGAGUAACUGCUUGUACCUUGACGGUACCUAACCAGAAAGCCACGGCUAACUACGUGCCAGCAGCCGCGGUAAUACGUAGGUGGCAAGCGUUAUCCGGAAUUAUUGGGCGUAAAGCGCGCGCAGGCGGUUUCUUAAGUCUGAUGUGAAAGCCCACGGCUCAACCGUGGAGGGUCAUUGGAAACUGGGGAACUUGAGUGCAGAAGAGAAAAGCGGAAUUCCACGUGUAGCGGUGAAAUGCGUAGAGAUGU